UACGAAGGGGGCUAGCGUUGCUCGGAAUGACUAGGCGUAAAGGGUGCGUAGGCGGCUUGUUGAGUCGGAUGUGAAAUUCCUGGGCUUAACCUGGGGGCUGCAUUCGAUACCUACGGGCUUGAGUGCGGAAGAGGGUCGUGGAAUUCCCAGUGUAGAGGUGAAAUUCGUAGAUAUUGGGAAGAACACCGGUGGCGAAGGCGGCUUUCUAGGAUAUACCUGACACUGAGAAGCGACAGCUAGGGGAGCAAACAGG
rnacentral:rRNA from 1 species